rnacentral:rRNA from 1 species
UACAGGGGGUGCAAACGUUGCUCGGAAUCAUUGGGCGUAAAGCGCACGUAGGCGGUUCGUUAUGUCGGAUGUGAAAGCCCUUGGCUUAACCGAGGAAGUGCAUCCGAAACUGGCGAGCUAGAGUACGAAAGAGGAUCGCGGAAUUCCCGGUGUAGAGGUGAAAUUCGUAGAUAUUGGGAAGAACACCGGUGGCGAAGGCGGCGACCUGGUCCUUUACUGACGCUGAGGCGCGAAAGCGUGGGGAGCAAACAGG